rnacentral:lncRNA from 1 species
CUAGUUUCGGACAUCCUCUCAGGUUGCAGCCAUGGGAUUGGGGGAGCAGCUGCCACCGUUGAGGGAGAUAAGCUUAAAGUCACAGAAGGGGAAGGUGGUGUGACAACGGACGCAUUGCUGGAAUUAGAAAGCCAAGGUGGAAGUAAAGUUGGUGGUGCAGGUGAAGGUGGGUCAGUAUGAAGAAAACCCCCGUUAGAAGCAGCCAUGGGAAAGGCUGAGCUAUGGCCCUGUUUUACUAGUUUUUCAGCAAAAGUUUCUAAUAUCCUAUCGUACUUGCCUUCCUCGACUGGCUCAACCGUCUUAUGCUUCUCUUUAUGUUCCCUU